UUCCCAGAGGCUCAGUGGUAAAGCAUCUACAUGCAAUGCAGGAGACUCAGGUUCGAUCCCUGACUCGGGAA
rnacentral:tRNA from 1 species